AAAUUUACUUUCUUUAUUUUAAAUCAAAAAGUUAAUUUUUAAAUCAAAAAGUUUAAAUUCUAUUAAAGGACGAGAAGACCCUAUAGAACUUUAUUAUUUUUGAAUUACUUAUUUGCUAGCAAAUAAUUUUUAUUUAAUUCAAAAAUAAUUUUAUUGGGGUGAUAAAAAAAAUUUUAUAACUUUUUUUAUUUAUAUUAUUUAUAUAUAAUUUUUUGAUCCUUUAUUAAGGAUAAUAAGAUUAAGUUACCUUAGGGAUAACAGCGUUAUUAUUUUAGAAAGUUCAUAUUGAUAAAAUAGUUUGCGACCUCGAUGUUGGAUUAAAAUUAGUUUCAGGAGUAGAAAAUUGAUUACUG
rnacentral:rRNA from 1 species